UACGUAGGUGGCGAGCGUUGUCCGGAUUUACUGGGCGUAAAGGGAGCGUAGGCGGACUUUUAAGUGAGAUGUGAAAUACCCGGGCUCAACUUGGGUGCUGCAUUUCAAACUGAAAGUCUAGAGUGCAGGAGAGGAGAAUGGAAUUCCUAGUGUAGCGGUGAAAUGCGUAGAGAUUAGGAAGAACACCAGUGGCGAAGGCGAUUCUCUGGACUGUAACUGACGCUGAGGCUCGAAAGCGUGGGGAGGCAAACAGGAUUAGAUACCCCGUA
rnacentral:rRNA from 1 species